UACGGGGGGAGCAAGCGUUGUUCGGAUUUACUAGGCGUAAAGGGCGCGUAGGCGGUCGUGACAAGUCACUUGUGAAAUCUCCGGGCUUAACUCGGAACGGUCAAGUGAUACUGUCGGACUAGAGUACAGAAGGGGCAACUGGAAUUCUCGGUGUAGCGGUGAAAUGCGUAGAUAUCGAGAGGAACACCUGCGGCGAAGGCGGGUUGCUGGGCUGAUACUGACGCUGAGGCGCGAAAGCCAGGGGAGCGAACGGG
rnacentral:rRNA from 1 species